rnacentral:rRNA from 1 species
ACGGAAGGCAGCAGUGGGGAAUAUUGCACAAUGGGGGAAACCCUGAUGCAGCGACGCCGCGUGAAGGAAGAAGUAUCUCGGUAUGUAAACUUCUAUCAGCAGGGAAGAUAGUGACGGUACCUGACUAAGAAGCCCCGGCUAACUACGUGCCAGCAGCCGCGGUAAUACGUAGGGGGCAAGCGUUAUCCGGAUUUACUGGGUGUAAAGGGAGCGUAGACGGAAUGGCAAGUCUGAUGUGAAAGGCCGGGGCUCAACCCCGGGACUGCAUUGGAAACUGUCAAUCUAGAGUACCGGAGGGGUAAGUGGAAUUCCUAGUGUAGCGGUGAAAUGCGUAGAUAUUAGGAGGAACACCAGUGGCGAAGGCGGCUUACUGGACGGUAACUGACGUUGAGGCUCGAAAGCGUGGGGAGCAAACAGGAUUAGAUACCCUGGUA